AAAUUCAAAAAUAUUUAUUUCGGUAGAACAAUUUUACAUAGAACAUAGAAAUUGGAGCCAUCCCAGUAAGUGACUAGUAUUACUACUAGUUCUUGUAGUAGGCGGCGCCGCUCUUCCAUAACACAUAAAAAAUAUCAAAAGAAAAUU